CCCGCACAAGCAGUGGAGUAUGUGGUUUAAUUCGAAGCAACGCGAAGAACCUUUACCAGGGCUUUGACAUCCCUUGAAGCAGCUAGAGAUAGCUGUGUCCUUCGGGACAAGGAGACAGGUGGUGCAUGGUUGUCGUCAGCUCGUGUCGUGAGAUGUUGGGUUAAGUCCCGCAACGAGCGCAACCCCUGUGGUUAGUUGCCAGCAAGUAGCGUUGGGCACUCUAGCCAGACUGCCGGUGAUAAAUCGGAGGAAGGUGGGGACGACGUCAAAUCAUCAUGCCCUUUAUGUCCUGGGCUACACACGUACUACAAUGGCCGUUACGACGGGAAGCGAAGGAGCAAUCCGGAGCAAAUCCCUUAAAGGCGGUCCCAGUUCAGAUUGUGGGCUGAAACUCGCCCACAUGAAGGCGGAAUUGCUAGUAAUUGCAGAUCAGCAUGCUGCAGUGAAUACGUUCCCGGGCCUU
rnacentral:rRNA from 1 species